AGGGAAAGAUGAAAAGAUCUUUGAAAAGAGAGUUAAAGAGUACCUGAAACUGUUGAAAGGGAAGCGAAUCGUCUUCAGUGUAUGUCGGCUGUGCAUAUUUCACUUUCGAAGGCGGGCACGUGUGGCUUUUUGUAAUCGUUCAAUCGAUGCUUGGGCUGCAUGUUGGUGUCUGUUUUCGAGUGUGCCCUGUGCGCAGUGUAAGAUGUCAAAGUCAAUUCAUAUGUCGUGGGAGAUGGUUGACUGGGGAGGUAGGUUCAUUUAUCUAAGAAUAACUGGACUGUUUAUAUCCCGGUGGACUAGUUGUCAUGGCAAGGAUUGAGGUGCCUACAACAUGCUUUUAAAGUGCGUGUGUGUCUCUGUUUGUGGCAGAUGCAGAUAGCUUGCUAUGUGUGUUUGUUUUUCACGGGCGGAUGGAUGUAUGCGUGAACUUUUGCUGUUCGGGACUUUGACAAAAUGAAGCGAUCCGACCCGUCUUGAAACACGGACCAAGGAGUCUAACAUGUAUGCAAGUAUUAGGGUGUGGAAACCCAAAUGCGCAAUGAAAGUAAAGGAAAACAUUGUGUUUUCUGAGGUAGGAAAUUCUAUGUCUUGUUAUGUAGAAUGGCACUAUCGACCGAUCAUGAACCCACGUGGUGAAAGAUUUGAGUAUGAGCAUAUAUGUUGGUACCCGAAAGAUGGUGAACUAUGCCUGAAUAGGGUGAAGCCAGGGGAAACUCUGGUGGAAGCUCGUAGCGAUUCUGACGUGCAAAUCGAUCGUCAAAUUUGGGUAUAGGGGCGAAAGACUAAUCGAACCAUCUAGUAGCUGGUUCCCUCCGAAAUUUCCCUCAGGAUAGCAACAACUUGUGAUUGAUAGUUUUAUGAGGUAAAGCGAAUGAUUAGAGGAUUCGGGG
rnacentral:rRNA from 1 species